CCCGGCUGCGCCCCGCUAACUCGACACCCACACACUACCUUUUUUCAGAUGCGGCCGCGACAGCCACUGGACCUAGGAGAGCGCUCGGACGCCAUGUUGGCUUCCGGCAAAGCUCUCCGCAAAGGUUCUACGCACGCGCAAUGACGCGCCGAACACCGACGUCUCACGAAACGCAUGCGCGCCUGAAACUCCACAAACUACCCGCUCCUUACUUCUCCGGCACCAUAGGGCGUAUUGAGCAUCUGAAAGGAACAUCUUCCGCCUGUGUCAGCAUUUCCCAUUGUUCUGGAGGUGGGUACCCCAAUCUUUCUCUAAGCAUCUCUGAGUCUACCACAAUCCCUUAUUUUUAGAAAGCUGUGUCCCAACCAUCUGGAGGGAGAAGUCCCUCCCUUUCAUUACUGCACACCUAGAAGAGAAACUUGUCAUCCAUACUAUUCAGUUAUUGUUAUUUAUUAUCAUCAUUAAUACUAUUGUAAUUUAAUAACAAGACACAUUUGUCUUCAAUUUUUUCUUAAUAGUCGGUUUUUCUGCUUUCUUCAACCAUCCUGUUUACCAAAUGAAAAAUAUAAGUUACUCUUAAAGGGACAGGAUGAGGGGCGGAGAGAGGCUGAGUAGGUGAGACUUACUUAGGUGGAAUCAUGUGUACGAUCAAUCCAAACUCGCCAUGUGAACCACAACCACUGUAUUUAUAGUGCAGUGAAUCUUCUAUAGAGAUGAAAAGUCCCAACACCAGAAAGCAGUGCUGCAUGGUGAAUAAUCCGAAGACAGAAAAACCACCAAAGGGUAUUCUUUGAAGAAAAAUACCUACUUGGCCCAUGAAGGAUCUGACCACAUAUCAUUAUGAGUCAUAGUAAAAUCGUUCC
rnacentral:lncRNA from 1 species